rnacentral:rRNA from 1 species
GACGAACGCUGGCGGCAGGCCUAACACAUGCAAGUCGAGCGGAGCGGCGGACGGGUGAGUAAUACCUAGGUAUCGGCCGGGUAGUGGGGGAUAACGUUAGGAAACGGACGCUAAUACCACAUACUAUCAGAUGAGCCUAGGUCGGAUUAGCUAGUUGGUGAUGUAAUGGUCCACCAAGGCUACGAUCAGUAACUGGUCUGAGAGGAUGAUCAGUCACACUGGAACUAGGGCACGGUCCAGACUCCUACGGGAGGCAGCAGUGGGGAAUAUUGGACAAUGGGCGAAAGCCUGAUCCAGCCAUGCCGCGUGUAUGAAGAAGGUCUUCGGAUUGUAAAGCACUUUAAGUUGGGUGGCGUUACCGUCAGAAUAGGCACCGGCUAACUCGGUGCCAGCAGCCGCGGUAAUAC